rnacentral:rRNA from 1 species
GUUGUGAGGUUAAGCGAACAAGCGUACACGGUGGAUGCCCUGGCAGUCAGAGGCGAUGAAGGACGUGCUAAUCUGCGAAAAGCGCCGGUAAGGUGAUAUGAACCGUUAUAACCGGCGAUGUCCGAAUGGGGAAACCCGGUGCACUUCGGUGCAUCAUCGUUAGCUGAAUACAUAGGCUAACGAAGCGAACCGGGGGAACUGAAACAUCUAAGUACCCCGAGGAAAAGAAAUCAACCGAGAUUCCCCCAGUAGCGGCGAGCGAACGGGGAACAGCCCAGAGCCUGAAUCAGCUUGUGUGUCAGUGGAACGGUCUGGAAAGGCCGGCGAUACAGGGUGACAGCCCCGUACACGAAGGCACACAGGCUGUGAGCUCGAUGAGUAGGGCGGGACACGUGAUAUCCUGUCUGAAGAUGGGGGGACCAUCCUCCAAGGCUAAAUACUCCUGACUGACCGAUAGUGAACCAGUACCGUGAGGGAAAGGCGAAAAGAACCCCGGCGAGGGGAGUGAAACAGAACCUGAAACCGUGUACGUACAAGCAGUGGGAGCCUUCGUAAGAGGGUGACUGCGUACCUUUUGUAUAAUGGGUCAGCGACUUAUAUUCUGUAGCAAGGUUAACCGUAUAGGGGAGCCGAAGGGAAACCGAGUCUUAACCGGGCGUUAAGUUGCAGGGUAUAGACCCGAAACCCGGUGAUCUAGCCAUGGGCAGGUUGAAGGUUGGGUAACACUAACUGGAGGACCGAACCGACUAAUGUUGAAAAAUUAGCGGAUGACCUGUGGCUGGGGGUGAAAGGCCAAUCAAACCGGGAGAUAGCUGGUUCUCCCCGAAAGCUAUUUAGGUAGCGCCUCGUGAACUCAUCUCCGGGGGUAGAGCACUGUUUCGGCUAGGGGGCCAUCCCGGCUUACCAACCCGAUGCAAACUGCGAAUACCGGAGAAUGUUAUCACGGGAGACACACGGCGGGUGCUAACGUCCGUCGUGAAGAGGGAAACAACCCAGACCGCCAGCUAAGGUCCCAAAGUCAUGGUUAAGUGGGAAACGAUGUGGGAAGGCCCAGACAGCCAGGAUGUUGGCUUAGAAGCAGCCAUCAUUUAAAGAAAGCGUAAUAGCUCACUGGUCGAGUCGGCCUGCGCGGAAGAUGUAACGGGGCUAAACCAUGCACCGAAGCUGCGGCAGCGACACUAUGUGUUGUUGGGUAGGGGAGCGUUCUGUAAGCCUGCGAAGGUGUGCUGUGAGGCAUGCUGGAGGUAUCAGAAGUGCGAAUGCUGACAUAAGUAACGAUAAAGCGGGUGAAAAGCCCGCUCGCCGGAAGACCAAGGGUUCCUGUCCAACGUUAAUCGGGGCAGGGUGAGUCGACCCCUAAGGCGAGGCCGAAAGGCGUAGUCGAUGGGAAACAGGUUAAUAUUCCUGUACUUGGUGUUACUGCGAAGGGGGGACGGAGAAGGCUAUGUCAGCCGGGCGACGGUCGUCCCGGUUUAAGCGUGUAGGCUGACUUUCCAGGCAAAUCCGGAAAGUUAAGGCUGAGGCGUGAUGACGAGGCACCACGGUGCUGAAGUGACAAAUGCCCUGCUUCCAGGAAAAGCCUCUAAGCAUCAGGUAACAUCAAAUCGUACCCCAAACCGACACAGGUGGUCAGGUAGAGAAUACCAAGGCGCUUGAGAGAACUCGGGUGAAGGAACUAGGCAAAAUGGUGCCGUAACUUCGGGAGAAGGCACGCUGACAUGUAGGUGAAGCCCCUGCGGGUGGAGCUGAAGUCAGUCGAAGAUACCAGCUGGCUGCAACUGUUUAUUAAAAACACAGCACUGUGCAAACACGAAAGUGGACGUAUACGGUGUGACGCCUGCCCGGUGCCGGAAGGUUAAUUGAUGGGGUUAUCGCAAGAGAAGCUCCUGAUCGAAGCCCCGGUAAACGGCGGCCGUAACUAUAACGGUCCUAAGGUAGCGAAAUUCCUUGUCGGGUAAGUUCCGACCUGCACGAAUGGCGUAAUGAUGGCCAGGCUGUCUCCACCCGAGACUCAGUGAAAUUGA